GUUUUAUUGACAAAAGUUAUCUCAGGUCAGCAAGACCUUGGUGACAGCGGCAAGAAAAAAACGUCCUUUAAAGAGGCAAAAACAUCUGACAGACCCCGGCUCUCUAGGUGGCUGCUUGUCUGCCUCGACCAGUUGGGGUUAGAGAGAGAGAGAGAGAGAGAGAGAGAGAGAGAGAGAGAGAGAGAGAGAGAGAGAGAGAGAGAGAGAGAGAGAGAGAGAGAGAGAGAGAGAGAGAGAGAGAGAGAGAGAGAGAGAGAGAGAGAGAGAGAAGGGAUUGGUGCUAAAGAGAGAAGGACAGAGACAAAGGUGCACAACAACAGUAACAACAACCAUACUAAUAGAAAUGACUGAUGAUGAUGAUGAUGAUGAUGAUGAUGAUGAUGAUGAUGAUGAUGAUGAUGAUGAUGAUGAUGAUGAUGAUGAUGAUGAUGAUGAUGAUGAUGAUGAUGAUGAUAGCCACAACAAUGGGGCAUCUUACAGAAAGUACAGUCAGUAAAUAAUGAUUGUUCAUCUUUUAACAGCUCUGCAGGAUGGAAACACUCUGGUCAAUACCCAAAACAUUGUCUAUACAGGAACUGGAGGAGGAGCUGUCAAAGUUAAAUGCUUUUCUUAUUAUGGAGGCAGGAAGUUCUUCUGCAAGGAAGGAUGUAAUCAAGAGGACAUUCUCAUUCAAACUACUGGUGUUACAGCUCACAAUGGCAGAUACAGCAUGACAUAUGACGGAACUUUUACAGGAGGAAAUGUUUUUGUGACCAUCACACAGCUGACCAAGUCAGACUCUGGACUGUACUGGUGUGGUUCUGGAGCUCAAUACCAGCUGAUUGAAAUCAUCAUUGUAGAUGUACUGCUGGAUGGAAAUCCUCCUGUAAGAACCCUCUAUCCAAGACCUGGAGGAAGUAUCACAGUUGCUUGUUUCUUUACUGUCUCUGAAAGCAGGAAGUACUUCUGUAAGGACGACUGUAAAGAAGAAGAUAUUCUUGUUGAAACAACUGGUUUCACAGGUCAGAAAGGCAGAUACAAAAUUAGAUAUAUAAAAGGAUUUUCUACAGGAGGAUUUGUGUAUGUGAGCAUCACACAGCUGACCCAGUCUGACUCAGGACAGUACAGGUGUGGUCUGGACAGACCUUUCUUACCAGACCCUUACCAGGAGUUUAGGAUCAUUGUCACAGAUGGUGAGUUUCCAUUUAAAGUGGAUUGAAAAUGAAUGAAAAUGUCUGUUUGUGUCUCUGGAGGUCUGAAGAAAGUUUUCACUGACAGCUGCUGAUGUUUUAAAUUCAAUAAAUUGAACACUGAUAAAUGCUCAUUUAAAACCAACAGACACACAGGAGUAUCUCAUUUCUCUCAGCAGGAUUUCUUUCUAUCAGUAU
rnacentral:lncRNA from 15 species